CCGGAAUAGAAGAAUGACUACAGAAAUAAGCACUAGGAGCCCAACGAUUGAUGAUGUGAAAAGCUGGGGUGAAUCGUUCGAGAAAUUAAUGAAAAGUUAGUCUAGAUUCAAGAGUUCGUGAAGUGAUUAAUAGAAAUAUGGUGGAUCCAACACCACAUACUUUUGAUGAAGCACAAUUACAAAUAUUUACAUUAAUGCAUCGAGACUCUUAUCCAAGAUUUUUAAAUUCACAG